CAAUCAACUGUAACUGCAAACAGGGGUGGUUGUUACCCAGCUAUAUUGCUCCCACUUUGCCUGCAGAUAGCGGCCUAACCACACCACUCCUCUACAUCAUAUUGUGAGAUUUAAGCUCUAUUAUAAACAUUACUUUGAAAUACAUGUCUCUACUAGUGUUUUGAGACGCAACACAAUCCUCCAAAGAGUGUCUCAGUAUCAGUGCGCCCCUCUGGUAAAAUAAAGGAGGGCAGUUCAGUGACUCUGACAUGCAGCAGCAGCGAUGCCAACCCACCAGUGCAGCGAUAUACCUGGUUAAAGAAGACUGGAUUUGCAUUCUCGGGGAGAGGAUCAGAACAGAGUUACACCAUUAAUGAAAUCAAAUCUGGGGAUGCUGGAGAAUACUACUGUGAGGCAGUGAAUGUGAUUGGGACAGAAAGAUCUCCUCCUAAACGUCUUGAUGUGCAGUAUCCUCCAAAGAGUGUCUCAGUAUCAGUGCGCCCCUCUGGUAAAAUAAAGGAGGGCAGUUCAGUGACUCUGACAUGCAGCAGCAGCGAUGCCAACCCACCAGUGCAGCGAUAUACCUGGUUAAAGAAGACUGGAUUUGCAUUCUCGGGGAGAGGAUCAGAACAGAGUUACACCAUUAAUGAAAUCAAAUCUGGGGAUGCUGGAGAAUACUACUGUGAGGCAGUGAAUGUGAUUGGGACAGAAAGAUCUCCUCCUAAACGUCUUGAUGUGCAGUAUCCUCCAAAGAGUGUCUCAGUAUCAGUGCGCCCCUCUGGUAAAAUAAAGGAGGGCAGUUCAGUGACUCUGACAUGCAGCAGCAGCGAUGCCAACCCACCAGUGCAGAGAUAUACCUGGUAUAAGAAUAAUAGAGCUGUAUCCCCAUGGAGAGGAUCAGACCAGAGUUACACCAUUAAAAACAUCACACUGCAGGAUGCAGGAGAAUACACCUGUCAGGCAGGGAAU